GAGAAAUGUUGCUGUUCCUCGGGUUCUAUUCUUGACCUUUUCCUCUUACUCUGCAUACACUUCCUGGACUAUCAUUUCUGCACUGAGGUGUUAACUUCCACUCCAGAUUUUUAUGUCUAGGAACCAAGAAUUCAAAAUCAUAUGAAAAUAGCUCAUGUCUGCUCUUAAGCUGUUAUAUCACAAUUCUGUUUUAUCACAGCAACCAAGACAGAAUGAAUCCCAUAGAUUUUCAGGAGGCAAAAUCUACAGAACCUGUUUGGAUGGGCUGUAAAGGAAGAAUGGUCAAGAGAGGCU
rnacentral:lncRNA from 1 species